UACGUAGGGUGCAAGCGUUGUCCGGAAUUAUUGGGCGUAAAGAGCUCGUAGGCGGCUUGUCGCGUCGACUGUGAAAUCCCGCGGCUCAACUGCGGGUCUGCAGUCGAUACGGGCAGGCUAGAGUUCGGUAGGGGAGACUGGAAUUCCUGGUGUAGCGGUGAAAUGCGCAGAUAUCAGGAGGAACACCGAUGGCGAAGGCAGGUCUCUGGGCCGAUACUGACGCUGAGGAGCGAAAGCAUGGGGAGCGAACAGG
rnacentral:rRNA from 1 species